rnacentral:rRNA from 1 species
GUGGGGAAUCUUGCGCAAUGGGCGAAAGCCUGACGCAGCCAUGCCGCGUGAAUGAUGAAGGUCUUAGGAUUGUAAAAUUCUUUCACCGGGGACGAUAAUGACGGUACCCGGAGAAGAAGCUCCGGCUAACUUCGUGCCAGCAGCCGCGGUAAUACGAAGGGGGCUAGCGUUGCUCGGAAUUACUGGGCGUAAAGGGCGCGUAGGCGGACAGCUUAGUCAGAGGUGAAAGCCCAGGGCUCAACCUUGGAAUUGCCUUUGAUACUGGCUGUCUUGAGUUUGGAAGAGGAGAGUGGAACUCCGAGUGUAGAGGUGAAAUUCGUAGAUAUUCGGAAGAACACCAGUGGCGAAGGCGACUCACUGGCCCAAUACUGACGCUGAGGCGCGAAAGCGUGGGGAGCAAACAGGAUUAGAUACCCGGGUAGUCC